UUAUAUUUUCCAUUGUGACUUCAACCACCACAACUAAGCAAUAAAUAGCGAGCACGAAAAAUUGUUACACACACAGCUUUCCGCACUCGUAAAGCAAUUGGAGGAUAUAAACCGAACACUUGACAGCAAAUAGAAUGAAGGGCUGCGUGUUUGCCAUUGUAGCGUUGGCCAUGAUACUGAUGCUUCAGAAUGUCAAUGGCUGCGAUAAAAAGACUCUUUUGAUCGGAAAAACUGGCUGCCUUCUGGGCGCAGUUCCAAUUUUGCCAGGGCAAACUUUGGAACUCCGGUGUCCCUGCGCGAAUGUUUCAUGUCAUGAUGGUCUGAAGCGCAUAAUAGUUUCAUGGUGUGACAACCCUCAAACGCCACUAAUUGAUUCGAAAGCGGAGUGAUGAAGUUAUAAAAAUGUGUACGUUAAAAGUUUGUACCCAGCUCAAGACCUUCUUGAUUAAAAGUCAGUGUCGUGAAUAUAUUUCAUACCAGAAAAAGAUAUUUUCUUCAACUAACUUGAUACAACAAUGAAAAUAAACUGCCUUUUGAUUACGUCUA